rnacentral:lncRNA from 1 species
UUGGUUUGGAUUUAAAUAAAAAAAUCUAGAACCCAUAUUGUUGAGUUUCAGUAAUACAACAGAAUAUAAAUUUCAAAAAAAUUUUAUAAGCAUUCAACAAUUAAAAAUAAGGUUUAACAAUUAAACUAGAGUACCAAAAUUCAAAAGCCUUAGAAAUACCUUGAUGAUUGCAAUCAAAUAUUAUAAGCAUGUAUAACAAGAGA